UUUUUAGGAAUUGAAGACAAGAUCCUCCACCAGCAAAAAGAUUACAACUUGCCUUAUUGCAAUACUUGCUGUAUCAUGGUGGUCUGGAACUGAACCAGUGAUAUCUGUGAGGUAUGC